rnacentral:rRNA from 1 species
GAUGAACGCUGGCGGCGUGCCUAAUACAUGCAAGUCGAGCGAACAGACGAGGAGCUUGCUCCUCUGACGUUAGCGGCGGACGGGUGAGUAACACGUGGAUAACCUACCUAUAAGACUGGGAUAACUUCGGGAAACCGGAGCUAAUACCGGAUAAUAUAUUGAACCGCAUGGUUCAAUAGUGAAAGACGGUUUUGCUGUCACUUAUAGAUGGAUCCGCGCCGCAUUAGCUAGUUGGUAAGGUAACGGCUUACCAAGGCAACGAUGCGUAGCCGACCUGAGAGGGUGAUCGGCCACACUGGAACUGAGACGCGGUCCAGACUCCUACGGGAGGCAGCAGUAGGGAAUCUUCCGCAAUGGGCGAAAGCCUGACGGAGCAACGCCGCGUGAGUGAUGAAGGUCUUCGGACCGUAAAACUCUGUUAUUAGGGAAGAACAAAUGUGUAAGUAACUAUGCACGUCUUGACGGUACCUAAUCAGAAAGCCACGGCUAACUACGUG